AGUGAACGCUGGCGGUAUGCCUAACACAUGCAAGUCGAACGGCAGCACAGUAAGAUCUUGCUCUUAUGGGUGGCGACUGGCGGACGGGUGACGAAUACAUCGUCAUCUACUUUUUCGUGGGCGAUAACGUAGGGCAACUUACGCUAAUACCUCAUACCACCUACGGUUGAAAGCAGGGUAUCUUCUUACCUUUCGCUAUUUCAUGAGCCGAUGUCGGUUUAGUUAGUUGGUGGGGUAAAGGCCCACCAAGGCGACGAUCCGUAGCUGGUCUGAGAGGAUGAUCGGCCACACUGGAACUGAGACACGGUCCAGACUCCUACGGGAGGCAGCAGUGGGGAAUAUUGGACAAUGGGCGCAAGCCUGAUCCAGCCAUACCGCGUGGGUGAAGAAGGCCUUCGGGUUGUAAAGCCCUUUUGUUGGGAAAGAAAAGCAGCAGGUUAAUACCCCGCUGUUCCGACGGUACCCAAAGAAUAAGCACCGGCUAACUUCGUG
rnacentral:rRNA from 1 species